CCGAGUUUACAACUCCCAAACCCCUGUGAACAUACCUUUACUGUUGCCUCGGCGGAUCAGCCCGCGCCCCGUAAAACGGGACGGCCCGCCGCAGGAAACCCUAAACUCUGUUUUUAGUGGAACUUCUGAGUAUAAAAAACAAAUAAAUCA
rnacentral:misc_RNA from 1 species